UAUACAUCAGCGGUCUGGUAACUCCCAUGGUAGGGAUAAGGCUUUUAAUGCAAUAGUAGAGGAGAAAUGAGAGAGUUCACACACAUAAUACAGAUAUUGCACCACGCGGUCAAGUGCUGAAGGUAUUCCACGCUAAUCUAUACAAGAACCUACAAAGUUAGGCAUCUGCCUUGUUUAGUUCCACGUUACAAGAACUCAUUUCAUUGUACGAUUUUGCGGAAUACUUUCCUAUUCAAUAUAAACAAGUAUGAGAAUAACAAAAUCGCGCAAUAAUUAAACUUGUUAAUUUCUCAGUAUGUGACGGGGGGAGAGGCAUGAGUUUGAACAACUUUUUUCUAUACAUGUGUAUAACCGGCGGUUUCUCUUACUUUCCGAGAUACGAAAAUAUACGAAAAUGCAAUUCAAAGUUUUGCAAUUAUACAGAUGUAGAAACGAUUCUAUUUCUGGAAACGGAGAUCUUAGACGUGCCGAAUUUAGAGAAGAACAAUGAAAAUGAAAGAGACAGAGGGACUGAGAGUCGAAGCGUUCGAAAAUGCAAUGGGAUGAUGGUUUUAUGAUACAGAGAAGCAUCGUGUAUUUCUAGUUCACUGUUCAGCAAAUUUCCUUAACAAACCAGCCUGCAGCUCACAUACGGCACUUAACGAACGUUUGUUUGUUAAUAAAAUUAUUAAAAUAGAGUCACCCUGUUACCAACCCGCUGUUAACCAGCGAUUUACUCCUUUACCUCAGUUCAAGAGUGUAUCGCGCUACGGACGCGAUUUAUAAUUAGAUUUAUUAGUCAGCACACCAUGUGCAAACGCCAACCAACCCCAAACGAUCACAACAUUCGAUCAACCACGGGGAAUAAACAAUGAUGAAUGAAAUUCGUACCAAUAUACUUAUUACAUUUUUUUAAAUAAAAGGGACUAAACACGAUAUAAUUUGGAACAUAUUUGCUUAUUUAAUAAAUAAUAAUUAAAUACAUAUCAAUAAGUAACUGUAAUUCAAAAUAUAUCGUAUUUGAUCUCAUUUUAUUUAUUGAGAAUGCUCUCACAAAUAUGUCAGUAGAAAUUUAAUUUAGAAAAAGUUAAAAAUAAAAAAAUUUCAUUUUUAAAUGAGUACCUACAUACAUUGUCUCAGCGAUAUUUGACAUUGAAUUAUGUUAUACUACUCAACUGCGGCGGGCUGUCAAACUUCACGAAACGUCGAGGGGCAUCUCUCCCCUGUGAAGGGGAUGACGACCAUGCAAUUAGCGAGAGAUUCUUUUUCUGCAGAUAUAUCACGUCAGGAAUAUUAUUUGCAGUCUAUCUAUUGCAGUAAACUAUUGAAAUUACUAAUAAAAUGAAAUUUAGAUUUUAUUAUAACAAAAACAUUAUCGCGAGGAAAGUAAAUUUUGUAUUAAAUCUAAAAAGUUAUCGUUUAUAGAGAAUAUAUUAAAAUUAUUGCAUCAUUUCAUUAAUCCAUUACCGUUUGAAGGAAACGAUUCUCUUUUCUUCUCUAAAAAAGAUAUAAUGAGCAAUUAAUUUUUCUUUUUAAAGCAACUAAUUUUAAUUAUUGUGCGAUUUUACUAUUCUCAUACUUGUCUGUUUCGAAUAGAAAAGUAGCUUUUUCGUAGAAUCGUACAAUGAAAUGAGAUCUU